GAAUCGCACUUGGCCUAGAGGAAAUAACAAUAAAUAUCCUGAUUGGGAUCCUCGUAUAGAGACAAUGUGAGAAUUAUUUUAUUAUAGCUUAGGUGUAGUGUAAAGGACCACUAUAGUGCCAGGAAAACAUACUCGUCCCCCUCCCGCCGGGCUCUGGGGAGAGGAAGGGGUUAAACUUACCUCUUUUCCAGCGCCGGGCGGGG